UUUAAUUCAGUUAAUGAUCUCGAUUCUCAACCACUUGAAGCAACAUUUUACUCCCUUUCUCUUGAAAGUAUAUGCAGCACAGUUACUUUCAAUAAAAGACAAAAGCAAGUUGCACUCCCUGCUUCAAACUAUAUAUAGUCAUCUCCAUGGUCACAAUUUGGAGAUGCAGCAAAUUUGUAAUUCAUUUACCUGUUACGAAGCAAACUUUCGAUCUUAUGCCCAAGCUUGGUCUUUUUGGCAGGAUUUCAAAUGGACAGAAACAGUCAUCAGGUUGACGUAGUCAAGUUGAUCCGAGAUGAAUUGACGGAAGUGCCUCAGAUUCCCGAGUGUUGUAUCUAUAGAGUUCCUUUUCGACUUAAGAGUGGCCCAUUUAGGGAGGGGAAAGAGGAAGUUUACAUUCCCAAGGUAGUUUCUAUUGGUCCAAUUCACCAUGGCAAUAAAGGCUUAGAAAAGAUGGAAGAAAAGAAAAUGAUUUAUCUAAAAGAUUUUCUUGAACGGAACGAUGUAAGUUUGGAGCACUGUGUUGAUACUGUAGAGGAAAGCCUGGGAAAGAUACGUAAAUGUUACGAAGAAAGUCUUGGGUACAAAGAAAAUGAACAUGAACUUGUGAAGAUCAUCCUAGUGGAUGCUGUUUUUGUUAUCUAGACUUUAUUGAAAUGUUGGUACGAAAAUUUUCGAGAUGAUAACGACAGAAUGUUUUUGCUGUCUUACCAUUGUAUCUUUGUUUAUCGAUCUUUCUUCUCUUUUGCUUUUCUAA